UACGUAGGGGGCUAGUGUUGUCCGGAAUCAUUGGGCGUAAAGAGCGUGUAGGCGGCCCGGUAAGUCCGCUGUGAAAGUCGGGGGCUCAACCCUCGAAUGCCGGUGGAUACUGUCGGGCUAGAGUGCGGAAGAGGCGAGUGGAAUUCCGGGUGUAGUGGUGGAAUGCGUAGAGAUCCGGAGGAACACCAGCGGCGAAGGCGGCGUCCUGGACUGGUACUGACGCUCAGGAGCGAAAGCGUGGGGAGCGAUCCGG
rnacentral:rRNA from 1 species